GCCCCACCUCCGGAAGUGGAAGUGGCUCUACUCCGGAUCAGGGCCCACCCCCCGGAAGUGGGAGUGGUUCUACUCCAGAUCAGGGGUUUGGGCCGCGCUCUCCUGUGGGGCUUCCUUUGUGCCCUCUGCUCUCCUGGGUCUCGGAAUCUGCUCCGGGCCUUGUCCCCUCCGCUCUCUCUCUCGGCGCAAGCCACGUGGAAUUGACCUCCGAUGGCGCCUGGCGGAGGACCAUGCAGUUCCGGAGGAGACAGACUGGGGCUGCCGUCCCAAGGCCACCAGCGCCGCCCGGCGGUCGCGGUCCCUGUGAUGUCAGCCGUGCCCGGGAGCACCUGGAAGUGGAGCUGCAUUUUAUUAGAGUCACCAGCAGCUUCACCGAGCAGAGCCAUUCAGUGCCGGGUCUUGGCAAAUGCGAAGUGCAAUUAAAACAAAAAUCUGUUAGAAAGGAAGCCCAGGUCGGAGCGGAGCAGCUGGAUCUCCCCCAUCCGGGCGUCCUGGGGCUCCUGUCGCCGCCCAUUGGCAGGAUGCUUUGGGAACCAGGGAAAGGGGUUGCUCAGCCCACUCGCCUCUGGCAGGGGGAUGACAGCCUAUGUUAUUAAACCACCGAGCUCGAGGCUGGAAGGGCGUCCUGCCGGCUGUAGUCACCAGAAUGGUUUACUGUAAAAUCGCCCUGGACAGUGCUGGAAGUGAACUGUACAGUGAACUGUACAGCUUCCGUAGGCUGCCCCAGGAGAGGACACUUAGAACGGGGCCGAGCCGCAGGUGCAGAGAUGCUGCCUUUCGCUUGUUUGCCCCAUCUUCUCUGCAUUCCUGAGAACUCGGGACGGAUCGCUAUUCUGAUUUUAUGGAUGAAAACGUGGAGAGACAAAUUAAAAAACUAGCCUUGUGUCACAGAAGCCUUUCAAUCCCAGAAGUACAGGUUGGGAGAAUUUUAUCCAGCACCCAGAGCUUUGAGAACCCAGGCCUCUACUCUGGGAGGUUGGAGCCUUUUGAGGACUCUGUCUCCAGCGUCCCAGAUGUGCCACCCCCAUAGACUGGGUAGACGCUGCUUGAACAUAGAGGCCUAGAUCUAAUCACUGCUCUUUCUGGUCAAGCAGAGAGGAGCCCUCCCUACAGCCACCCUCUUUCUUGUGUAAAACCCUGGUUUCUAUUGCCUCUUGAUUUUGGGAACUGUUCGGUGAAUUUCCUGUUGAGACUUAAAAGAAACACACAUCUGCCUCUGCACUGGGCCCUCGAUUUUUCAGAGAACACGGAGGAGUCCAACUUGGCAAGUUGCUGAGUUCAUUCUUGUUUACUGAGCUGUGGGUGAUGUAGGCUGAAGUGCCACCUAAGUUGUCACCACCCCCCACCCCCGGGCUAGGCCACUGCUUUCUUAGGGUGCUAAUUAAAACAGCAAAAGGAAGCAAGAAGGAUCCUUGAGAGAAGUAUGCUUACCUCUGAACUGAGCCGAUCCUCACAGGGCCCUGCAUCCCUCUCUACUAGUCCAGUUUAGCCCUGUGUGGUGGACAGCCUCACAUACAGCUUCAGCAGUCAUCAGGGCCUGCUGCAGGGUGUGAUCACCUCAGUGAGGGUUUGGAGGAAAGUUCUCACUUCAGAGGUCAAGGCACCCCAGCUCUAAGCAACAUGCCACUGGAAAGUUGACAUGUGAGCCCAGCUGGGGGUGGUGUGAAACCCAGUUAGGACCACUGAGCCCAGAGCAGGUGUUUGCUAGGACAUUCCAGGAAAGGAGCCUUUCUUCUCUGCCCUGGACCUGGGGUGUGUGGAUGGUUUUGUGGCAGCUCUAGCCAUCCUGAGGGCCCUCCACAGUAAGGAGGCAGACCAAGAAGGUGAGAAGAGGGCCAGCCCUGGUAACUCUUGGAAACCAAGUCAGCCCUUAUCCCAGAGUCUGCAGUCUCAAGAGCCAGUGUUGCAAGCUUAGUUCCUUACAGCAUGGCUAGUGUGGCCGGAGCAUUAGCAGGGUGGCUGGCUUCCACCUCCUCUAUAACAGGGCAAUCAUAGUAUCUUUCUUACGGCUGACACAAGGAUGGAGGUGCAGCUGGAGGGAAGUACUGCGCCCAGGAGCCCCUGGAGAAGUUGGAGAGGCAGAGUGGUGCUUGACAUUUUGUAUCCAUAGCAGCAUCUUCAUUUGCCAGCAGUCCCUCCAACAACUGGCUUUUAAACUUGGGAUGAAUAAAUGGACAAAUUGGUAGGAUUUGUCACCAAAUCACAGGGUGCUUUCUGAAGAUGAGCCUGGCUUAAGCAGCUGUGGCCCAGUGGUGCGGUUUGCAGCAAGGCCAUGGGAGGAAGGCGCAUCUGCCACUUCGAUUGUGUCCUUGGCAGCUCUGAAGACGCAUGGUUUAUGGAUCUUUAAGUAUGUAAACACAGCGCUGAGCCUCUCCCCCAUCAGUGUGGUUCUCCAGGGCAGGAUUGAAAUGAGUUUGCUUGCAGCUGUGUGACUUGGAGCCUGUGGAUUGGCCGAGCCAUUAUGCCUCUGGUACCUAGCCCACUUUUUGCUCUGUCUCUGCCUUAGUAGAAUCAUGGGGGCGACUGUGACCAAGUUGAGCCCAGGCCACAAUCUUCUGAGCUCAGUUGGGGCUUGACCUUGGGAAGACUUCCAGGGACCGCAAAAGAAGCACCCAGGGACUUAACUGUGUUGUGAAAUUGGAGCUCUGCCUCGUUUCCUGGGUAAUGGGCUCUGCAUGGUCUGUGUUGAUGUCAGCAUUGUUUACAGUGUUUGUCCAGCCUUGGACCAUGCUUUUGUCAGAGGGUUAGGGAUUGCUGCUGAUAGGUCUCAGAUAGUCUCUGCGAGCUCAGCUGCCAGCCUUGCAGACUUGUGGGAGCAUCAGACACAGGUGCAGAGCCUUUGUGGGGGUAGGAACACAAUGUGGGUGUUCAUCAAUAUUUGCAAGUAACAGAAAACAACUCUCACUGAUUUAAGCUGGGAGCUAUUUAUGGGAUGACGACUGCAGGUCUCUCAGGGCCUGCAACAGUCAUGGGCAAGGUGCACUGGGCAUGGGAGUAGAACCUGGCAGCAGGUGCUUCAGGGGCAGGAGUAGGUGGGCUGCUGGAGCUAUGGCCAGAGCCCAGCAUAUAUGCACUCACACAUGCUCUUGGAUGCACCAUUCACACAUGCACAUGUGCAUGCCCGCACAAGGACAUACAGGGAACAUCCAUGCCAUCAAACACACGCACACACAUGAAGAUAUGCAACCAGUCACACUCAAGCAUACACUCCCACGUACGCCCACACAGUGGGCUCAUGUCUGUGCAUACACAUCUAUAUGUGUGUAUACCUAUGUACUGUCACUCAGCACAUGCACACAACACUCUCACAUGCCUCUAUAUGAGGGCACAUGCAUACACAUUCACACACGGAGACACAUGUACAUACAUGUACGUUCACAUAAACCACUUGGUGCACAUACACACCCUACCAGGGAACAUACACUGUCACACCUGCACACACAGCAACUGGUACCUGCAUCCACAUGCAUACACGCACACCCACAUGCUCACACAAACACCCCCACAGUACAAAGGUGCAUGCUCACAUGUACACAUGUGCACACAUGGAUGUGGCUGCAUCGAUUCCCAGUGGUUUCUCUUACUCUGCCAGAUCAUGUUUACCGAACCUAAUGACAGAAACCUCCAGUCUGAUGUGCUCCUCUGGAACCUGGCCUUGUUGGGUCCUCUGUGGAUCAGGCAGCCUGCAUGAGAGCUGACCAAGUCCCCUCUGAGUCCAGCCUGAGGACACUGAAAGAGUUUUUCCCUACUAUAAAUUACUGUACAGUUAUGGUGAUGAUCUAACGUGGCAGAAGGCCAAAGCGGAACGCUUACCUCUUCCUGCUUCUUCCUCAGCCUUAAUUGCAACUCCCCUUCCUGUUUGUGCACAAAGACAAUUCCAAUCAGCUCCUUGCGUGUCAUCAAUGUCUGCUCUAAGCACCACCCCGCUCAGAGGUUACAUAUGUCCCACACUCCCCCCAUAUUCCGGUCAAAGGAGAUGGCGCAGCUGCUAUGGGUUGUGUGCUCUUUUCCACGUCCUCAUCUUAACAAACCUGUUUGUUUUGUAUUUUUACUUCUCUAUUGCACCAGAAAACUCUUUCAGCCCCCCACUUUGGAGCCCUCACAGGUGAGCCUUCCUGUGCCUCCCAGUCUCACUGUAAAGCAGGGAGCUAAAGGCACUUUUUUCAAAAGGCUGUUGCAGCAUGUGAAGGACUCAAGAAGUCACACGGCAUCUGGCAGAGAUGCAGAUGCGAGGUGGGUUGGCUGCUCUGCAAGUUUCUUCUAAUAAUGAUGAUGAAGAGUGAAAAGAACAGUGGUUUUGGAAAUUUACCCUGGCACACUGCAGAAUUAAAUGUGCCUAGAAAAACUGACUUACAAAGAGGCUUUGAAGUUUGGGACAUUUUCUUGCAGAAGGUUUGUUUUCUUGGUAAAGAUCAAUUUCUGUUUUUUCUUCUUCCUACAGACACCUUUAUUUUGUUACUUCUUAAAAACUGAUGAACAUCCAUUAAGAUGAAGUAGCAUAUUUGUCAGCAUUAUUAUUAGAGAUACAGAUAUAACACAAGCCAUGCAAAUGACUAAGAAAUUACAAGUUGUUUGCUCACAGUGGUCAGCCAGAGUCAGAUGAGGGACCAUGGGGAGGGCGUCUGCCUACUGGAGACUGAAGGCUUCAGUUCAAGGUCUCGGGCUCACUGCAGUAUCUCAUGCGAGUCCGUAUCAGGAGGUUGAUGGGUCUGCAACGGAUGGCUGAAGAGUGUACCACGAGGCUGUAGGAUCCACGGUGGAAGCCAAAGAACCUAUGCUGGAAGCCAGGAGACCACGUUCAAACUAUAGGCAAAGACCAGAGCUUCUUAGAACAGAAAUCUGUUUGUCCUUCCUCCUUUUCCCUUUGUAAUAUCCAGGAGGUGCCCUAGAGUGGGUCCUCUGCCCCCUACAACUGGACAGUUGUAGAGUUUCUGAGCUACAUAGUUAAACUUCUAAAGUGGAUAAAAUCAUUACAAGCAGUCACUGAAAAUUAGAGGAGAAUAAAAAGUCACUCGAGGCCUCCUGAGGCUACCAUUGCAA